UAUCCAUAUGUAGAUCUAGAAUAAUGGUUCUUCAUCUUCCAGGCAAGUAGAUUGAAAAACUUUCAAUCUGACAUUCUUUCUUUGAGGUUAGAAGUUCUCAAACUCAAAAUUUGGCUGUUUUCUUUAUUUCUUCUUCUUCUCCUCCUCCAGUUUUCUCUUUUGUGUUUUUCCUCUUGUUAAUCCGAUAAGAUGAAUGAAAUUGUAGAUCUUCUCAGUAUUUUCUAGUUAAGUUGAUGUUUGAGUACACCUAAAUUUGAUGUGGGUUUUGUUUUGUUUGUUCAAAAUUUGUUAUUUAUGAACAAAUGGGUUCAUUAAGUUUAGUUGCUUUAGCUUCUAAAAUUGCAAAAGAUAAACAUGUAUUUGCAGUUUGACAAGAUAGUAUUAGUAUUUUAGCUAUAGAAGCCAAACAAAAAUAAACAUUUUACCCUAAUUUUCAUGUUACUUUUCAUUUUCUUUUCAAUAAAAUUGAACAUUUUAGUAUGAAACCAUCUAUUACCUUCCUAUUAUACAAAAUGUGUUUGCAAUUCUUAGUUAAGUAACAUGAUUGAUAUGUUUUUUUUCUUUUGGGAUUCAAUUUGAUCAUGAUGUUGUGAUUUUUAAUUGGGAAAUAGGUGUAAAUGGAUUCUCAGCAAUUGCGCGAUGUUGAAUCCUUUAUGAUUCUCAAGAAGAUUGUGGUGUAUUCCUAUAUUGUCCUUAUCUGCUUUUUUAUGGCUAUUUACAGCAUGUUAUUAAGAAAACAAUCUAGAAAUAGAUGGGGCAUUCGAUAUUGUAUGAGUGCUAAAAUUCCAAAAAUCUUGUCUCAUCUGAAUUUUCUCAUUCGUGACAAUGAUAUUGUAUGUAUUGACAAGCUUCGGAUGGAUAGAAACGCCUUUCACAUAUUAGCCUCCUUAGCCAAGAAUAUUGGAGGUUUAACUGACAGUAAAAAUAUGUCGAGUACUGAAAAGUUAGCAAUAUUUUUAAAUAUUUUGGCUCAUCAUGAAAAGAACAGGUCUAUCAAAGUUGAUUAUAUUAGAUCGGGUGGAGUGUAAGUAGAGCCUUUAAUGAAUAUCUAAGAGUUAUUCUUAAAUUAACUACAGUAUUACUUGUUAAACCUAAUCCGGUGCUCGAACAUGAUAGUGAUGAUCGAUGGAAAUGGUUUAAGGGUUGUCUUGGUGCAUUGGAUGGUACUUACAUUUCCAUUAGAGUUGAAGCAAUAUAUAAACCAAGAUACAGAACACGAAAUAGAGAUAUAGCAACUAAUGUCUUGAGGGUUUGUGAUAGAAAUCUCAACUUUAUUUAUGUAUUACCUGGUUGGGAUGGAUCAGCCGCUGAUGGUCGCGUAUUGCGAGAUGCUGUUGUACGAAGAAAUAGGUUGAAAGUACCUCAUGGUAAUUAAUAUUUGUGCGAUGGAGGAUAUACAAAUGGAAAUGGUUUUCUGUCUCCCUACCGAGGAUAUAGAUAUUGGCUAAAGGAUUGGCAGGGUGACAAUCCAUCACUUCGAUGUCGAGAAGAGCUCUUUAAUAUGAAGCAUGAUGGGGAACGUAAUGUUAUCUAACGAGCAUUUGGACUAUUAAAAGGACGUAAGGGAAUUCUUAGAAGUCCUCCGUAGUACUCAGUUAAGGUUCACAAUAGAAUUAUUAGUGCAUGUUGUUUGAUACACAAUUUCAUUCGAAGAGAUAUGGAAGCUGACCCCUUAGAUAUGGAAAUGGAUUUCCACAUGGAGAAUCAACAUGAACAUGAAAAUAUUAAUACAAUUGAAACAUCUGAUGAGUGGACCACUUGGAGGAAUGAACUAGCUCAGUCUAUGUGGAAUGAACGAUUGGGAAACCAAUAUUUAUAAUUUUAAACUAUGUGCUCAUUUUUGGUGUGCUUAUGCACUUUUGCUUUUGGUUUUCCAUCCACUGUAAAAUGUAAUACCUUAUAUUAUUUUGUGAAAACGAAUGGUCAAUCUUUUGUAUGUCUCACAUUGUUGUUUGUACAAAUAAAUAGUGAAUCUCAAUGUAUAUCUAUUAUUUUAUAAUAUAAGUAGUAAAAUUCUCUUUAUCUCUUCA